rnacentral:sRNA from 1 species
UAUCAUCAAGCCGCCAAAGAUGUUGUUA